UAAUAUUCUAUGAUUUGAGUUUAAAAUUUGUAUUUUGUAUUUUUGGAAGAAAUUAUUUCCGAAAGUGCAUUUGUUUAUAAUAUGUUGAAAUGUAUUAUCAAAUAAUUGGUACCUGGAAAAUUACGUUUGAUAGAUUUUUCGAUGGCACAUUUGUUAGGGGUUUCCAUCAGAACCAAAAGAUACCGUGUUACAUGCUCGAUACUGUUACCAUUGAGUCAUUGACUUACUAUUUCUGAUUUAACAUCAAAAUCAUGUAAUUACAGGUUCACCAUAUGGCGGGUACACACUAAUCAAUGUGAACAAAGUUGAUUUGAUAGAAUUUCCAGAAUUCAAAGAAGUACCGUGGUAUUACGCGAAUGUAUCUGCAGGAGAUUGUCUGUUUCUUCCUAAAGGACAUUGGCACCAGGUUCGAUCCUACGGAGC